rnacentral:rRNA from 1 species
CCGGCGCACGGGUGAGUAACGCGUAUGCAACUUACCUAUCAGAGGGGGACGAACCGGCGAAAGUCGGACUGAUACCGCAUGAAGCAGGGGCCCCGCAUGGGGAUAUUUGCUAAAGAUUCAUCGCUGAUAGAUAGGCAUGCGUUCCAUUAGGCAGUUGGCGGGGUAACGGCCCACCAAACCGACGAUGGAUAGGGGUUCUGAGAGGAAGGUCCCCCACAUUGGUACUGAGACACGGACCAA